GACAGAGGGUGCAAACGUUGUCCGGAUUUACUGGGCGUAAAGAGCGCGCAGGCGGUCGUACAAGUCGCGUGUGAAAGCCCCCGGCUCAACUGGGGAGGGUCACGCGAUACUGUUCGACUCGAAGGCAGGAGAGGGAAGUGGAAUUCCCGGUGUAGUGGUGAAAUGCGUAGAUAUCGGGAGGAACACCUGUGGCGAAAGCGGCUCACUGGACCAUAACUGACGCUGAUGCACGAAAGCUAGGGGAGCAAACAGG
rnacentral:rRNA from 1 species